rnacentral:rRNA from 1 species
GUUAGGAAUAUUGGACAAUGGGCGCAAGCCUGAUCCAGCCAUGCCGCGUGAGUGAUGAAGGCCUUCGGGUUGUAAAGCUCUUUAGCCGAUGAUUAUAAUGACUGUAGUCGGAAAAUAAGCCCCGGCUAACUUCGUGCCAGCAGCCGCGGUAAUACGAAGGGGGCGAGCGUUAUUCGGAAUCACUGGGCGUAAAGCGUGCGUAGGCGGUUUUGUAAGUUAGGAGUGAAAGCCCAGGGCUCAACCUUGGAAUUGCUCUUAAAACUGCAAGGCUCGAAUCUCGGAGAGGAUAGCGGAAUUUCCAGUGUAGCAGUGAAAUGCGUAGAUAUUGGAAGGAACACCAGUGGCGUAAGCGGCUAUCUGGACGAGUAUUGACGCUGAGGCACGAAAGCGUGGGGAUCAAACAGGAUUAGAUACCCGUGUAGUCC